CCCUUAGAUGUCCUGGGCCGCACGCGCGUUACACUGAUGCAUUCAACGAGCUUAUAACCUUGGCCGAGAGGCCUGGGCAAUCUUGUUAACGCGCAUCGUGAUAGGGAUAGAUUAUUGAAAUUAUUAAUCUUGAACGAGGAAUUCCUAGUAAACGCAGAUCAUCAAUCUGCAUUGAUUACGUCCCUGCCCUUUGUACACACCGCCCGUCGCACCUACCGAUUGGAUGGUCCGGUGAAGCCUCGGGAUUGUGGUUCUUGCCGCUUUAUUGUAGCGUGACCGCGAGAACUUGUCUAAACCUUAUCAUCUAGAGGAAGGUGAAGUCGUAACA
rnacentral:rRNA from 1 species